UUGAACGCUGGCGGCAUGCUUUACACAUGCAAGUCGAACGGCAGCGCGGGCUUCGGCCUGGCGGCGAGUGGCGAACGGGUGAGUAAUACAUCGGAACGUGCCCAGUAGUGGGGGAUAGCUCGGCGAAAGCCGGAUUAAUACCGCAUACGACCUGAGGGUGAAAGCGGGGGAUCUUCGGACCUCGCGCUAUUGGAGCGGCCGAUGGCAGAUUAGCUAGUUGGUGGGGUAAAGGCCUACCAAGGCGACGAUCUGUAGCUGGUCUGAGAGGACGACCAGCCACACUGGGACUGAGACACGGCCCAGACUCCUACGGGAGGCAGCAGUGGGGAAUUUUGGACAAGGGGCGAAAGCCUGAUCCAGCAAUGCCGCGUGUGUGAUGAAGGCCUUCGGGUUGUAAAGCACUUUUGGCGGGAACGAAAAGGACUGUGCCAAUACCACGGUUCGAUGACGGUACCCGCAGAAUAAGCACCGGCUAACUACGUG
rnacentral:rRNA from 1 species